AUGUAAUCGCCAACGGUGGUAACUCUGUGCAAAAGAUUUUCCUUCCUUAUCGUAUCUAAUACCGCUUCGAGUAAUAUUAUUUUACUAGGAUCUCCCAUCCAGGUGUUGAACACGCGAUAAGAUUGCUUAGGUCUGUAAAGAUUCGACGUGAUAAUAGCCACCCAAUUGCAUUUUUUUGCUAAAGGUCACUAAAUCUGGAGGAGAAUCUAAAUUAAAAUGUUCGUGACACCACAUUUUUCCUGUUGGACCGCCUCCAGUUUGUACCUCGUCGAUUAACAAUGCCGCGUCAUGCUGAAACAAUGCAUGAUAUAUAUUUCCAAGUUCCAAGUAAUAUGCAUGUAACAGAUAAUCUACUUUCAACUAGUUUAGUACUUAGAUUUACUAAUCAACUAGUACUUUUUUCGUUAUACGCUGUAAUUGUUGAAAAAAUUCAGGAGACGCGUGAUUAUCACCACCUUCCGCUUGAAUUGGUUCAGCAAUUACACCAGCAACUGGCAUUUUCUUCUCAGUUUUAUACGUUUCGAAUAACUCCUCUACCUGAUAAUAAAGUAGUUAGUUAGUAAAGUAACGAAAUUAACGAUAUUUGCAAUAUGUUAAAAACGUUCAUUGGAACGCAAACAGAACGACGAUUAAAUGCUCACUUGGGCUAAACAUCGUUCAUCUUCUUGCUGAUUCUCUCGAAUAUGUUCGUUCAAGGGAUACUUGUAAGCAGGAAAUGACGCAGUGGGCCAAUCAAACGC